UGGUAUAGCUCAGUUGGUAGAGCGACGCACUCGUAAUGCGUAGGUCGCCGGUUCGAGUCCGGCUUCC
rnacentral:tRNA from 1 species